GACGAACGCUGGCGGCGUGCCUAAUACAUGCAAGUAGGACGCACAGCCUAUACCGUAGCUUGCUACACCAUAGGCUGUGAGUUGCGAACGGGUGAGUAACGCGUAGGUAACCUGCCUAUUAGAGGGGGAUAACUAUUGGAAACGAUAGCUAAUACCGCAUAACAGUAUGUAACACAUGUUAGAUGCUUGAAAGAUGCAAUUGCAUCGCUAGUAGAUGGACCUGCGUUGUAUUAGCUAGUAGGUAGGGUAAAGGCCUACCUAGGCAACGAUACAUAGCCGACCUGAGAGGGUGAUCGGCCACACUGGGACUGAGACACGGCCCAGACUCCUACGGGAGGCAGCAGUAGGGAAUCUUCGGCAAUGGGGGGAACCCUGACCGAGCAACGCCGCGUGAGUGAAGAAGGUUUUCGGAUCGUAAAGCUC
rnacentral:rRNA from 1 species